AACUGAUACUACCUGCGGGAACCUGCGGAGGGAUCAUUAGUGAACGCCCUCACGGGCUUAUAACUAUUCCAAACCUCUGUGAACCGUGCCCUUCGGGGCUAUUUUACAAACAUGGCGUAAUGAACGUCAUAUAUCAUAACAAAACAAAACUUUCAACAAUGGAUCUCU
rnacentral:misc_RNA from 1 species